CUGCAAGGAGGAAGUCAUGAAGAUAUCUGCAUCAGUGACUAAAGUCCAGGCUAUUUUGUCUCUUGAACCUACAACCAGAGAGGAUUUCCUACAAUACUCCUGUCACUUCACACUG